AGCCCUAUUUCUCUGUAUAAGAAAGGAAAAAAUAAAAAAAAUAUGAGCUACACUAGUCCAGUAAGUAGAACUUGUACUUUCUUAUCGGAUCUAGCAUACAUUUUUCAUGAUAAUGUAAUAUUUAAAAAAUAAUAGAUAAUAUAAAAUAAAAUAUUUCAUAGAGCAUAUAAUAAAAUAAGUCAUAAAUCAAUCAUGCACGUAUAAAAU
rnacentral:lncRNA from 1 species